UGGUAAGAUGCGAGGAUAAUUUCCAUCACCUGGCAAUGACAUCACUUUUCUCAUCUGCCAAUCCUGACAAACAGGUAAGAAGUUCUUAGACUAUGAAAAUCAGGCAUCUGUCCUGGAGCUACUGGGACUGACAUCACAGAAACAUACAGCAAGAAGGGACGUUUUUACUGCCUGGAAGCCUUAUGGCUGGUACCAUCUGGAGGAAUCUUUUAGAUUUCUACAUAGUUUUUGUAGACUUCAGUUGUUUAGGAGUGGUGACUACCUUGGCCCCAAGAAACAGCAGAGUCUCUCUGAAAGGAGGAGAGUUUUGGCUUGUAGUCAUUCUCUUCUCAUACUUUCAGUGAACCAGUUAUAUCCAUAGCAUUUCAACAGCAAAGUCGCAUUUUUUGUGCUAUUUUUUAAGUGAACCAUAUAGCUACAAGUAAUUUCACCCUGCUGUUAUCCACAGAGUCCAACUACUACAAGCUCAAGAACUUGAAGUCCUUGAAAUCUUCCUGCGAACACCUCUACCAAACAGUUUUCACCAAGUCAGAUGGAUCGCAUUCUUUGAUGCCUAGAACAUUUCUCAAAAACUCUUGAUUUGUCAAAUUUGGUGUUUCAAAAGUUACUUGAUAGAUAAAUGCACACCUUUGACUACUGCAAUACUCAAAAUUCGGAUGGAAAUUUCAUUUGCUGUUCUACCAGCAUCAAGACAUGCAACAGCAGCAUCAGUGUAUUAAACCUUAUUAAAAAGAGAUCCCCGUAGAAAGGGCCCUUUGGGACUGCUCUCCCCCUAUCAACAUCUUUUGUUCCUGCUACAGUAAUGCUCUGAUCAGUCAAAAACAGCUUCAAGUGGCUUCCUCCAACAGAAUGAGGAAUUGGUAACAGUAGCAGAUUCAGAAAGAAGAGGUAAGGGGGAAAGAAAAGUCAGUUAAAGGAAAAAAAAAAAAACUACUUUCUCAGCAAUGUUUUAAAAUUAAGAACAAGCAAGCUUCCUCCUGAAGUCAUGUCUCAUCAACUAAUUAGUCAGAAAAGGCAAAGUCACUGGUGUACACGCAGGAAAGCCCAAACCAGCACGACUCUCCUCCAGGCUCAGAGCAGGUGAACAACCACUGGUGGUUUAUCAAAUUAUAAUGCAGAAACAGCCUUAAAUCUGCUCUAGUGAUUUUCAAAAGCAGAUUAAAAAAAAAGAAAACCCCAACGGCCGC